ACCACAUUUUGGUUAUCUGUUUAUCAGUGAUGGACAUUUGGGUUGUUUCCACUUUUUGGCUAUCGUGAAUAAUGGUCCUCCUCUUUAGUAAUCCAGUGAAAGAUGUGGACCUGUCACUGGAAAAAAUGCACACUUGUGUCUAUGUACAAUGUUGCAUGGGUGAUAUCCCCUUGCAUUGGACCUUCUGUGCUUCUGCUUUACUUGUCAAAUUACCACUGGAAUAGAUCCAUAGGUGUCUUUAAAUCUAACCAUAUUAGGGAACCAAUUUCAGAAACCCCAGAACCAAUGCAGAA
rnacentral:lncRNA from 1 species